UUCAUUAGUGACCAUUGUUUUUAAAGAGACAAAUGUUUGCUUGUCAAAUAAUUUACCUUAUAGUUUUACUCGAUUUUUUUGUGUUUCAUAAAAGUCUUUAUAAUGAUCUAGUCAGUGUUCAGUGAUAGUGCUUUGCUCCCGGUUCCUGGUUCCUGGUAUCUGGUUCCUGGUUCCUGGUUCCUGGUCAGCUCUCUUCUGGAAAUUCCGAGACAACAAAUUGGUAAUCGGGAUGUUCCAGAAGAAUUGGCGAUUUUAAACAGAGGUGUAGAAGGUUUUAAAAUUCGCGUAAAUUAAUUAAUUAUUAAAACAAAAGUGAUAAUUAAAUCAAUUCUGUAUAAUUUCGCGUAAAACAAUGUGUGUGUGAAUAACUUGAAUCUAUUGGGAAGAAAUGCUGACGUCCAUGCAGCCU